rnacentral:rRNA from 1 species
AUUGAACGCUGGCGGCAGGCCUAACACAUGCAAGUCGAGCGGAUGAAGGGGGCUUGCUCCUGGAUUCAGCGGCGGACGGGUGAGUAAUGCCUAGGAAUCUGCCUGGUAGUGGGGGAUAACGUCCGGAAACGGGCGCUAAUACCGCAUACGCCCUGAGGGAGAAAGUGGGGGAUCUUCGGACCUCACGCUAUCAGAUGAGCCUAGGUCGGAUUAGCUAGUUGGUGGGGUAAAGGCCUACCAAGGCGACGAUCCGUAACUGGUCUGAGAGGAUGAUCAGUCACACUGGAACUGAGACACGGUCCAGACUCCUACGGGAGGCAGCAGUGGGGAAUAUUGGACAAUGGGCGAAAGCCUGAUCCAGCCAUGCCGCGUGUGUGAAGAAGGUCUUCGGAUUGUAAAGCACUUUAAGUUGGGGGGAAGGGCAGUAAGUUAAUACCUUGCUGUUUUGACGUUACCAACAGAAUAAGCACCGGCUAACUUCGUG